rnacentral:rRNA from 1 species
CAGCACCUCAAGUGGUCAGGAGGAUUAUUGGGCCUAAAGCAUCCGUAGCCUGUUCUAUAAGUUUCCGGGUUAAAUCCAUUAGCUCAACUAAUGGGCCGCCGAAAAUACUGUGGAACUAGGGAGUGGGAGAGGUAGACGGUACUCGGUAGGAAGGGGUAAAAUCCUUUGAUUUAUUGAUGACCACCUGUGGCGAAGGCGGUCUACCAGAACACGUUCGACGGUGAGGGAUGAAAGCUGGGGGAGCAAACCGGAUUAGAUACCCGGGUAGUCCCAGCUGUAAACGAUGCAGACUCGGUGAUGCGCUGGCUUGUGGCCAGUGCAGUGCCGCAGGGAAGCCGUUAAGUUUGCCGCCUGGGAAGUACGUACGCAAGUAUG